AAGAAGAACAUUUUAUUGACUUAAACUACAUAGUUUCUCGUCAUAUACAUAUACACAAACAUAAUGUACAUAAAUCAUUAUAUAAAUAAUCAAGUUCAUAACUGCUAAAUAAUGAACAAGUCAAUUCAAGCAUUCGAGUGAGAGUGGUCCAUUCGGUCCAUUACAUAUAUACAUGAAGGUGUAAAAUUCAGUGAAUAUAUCCGUAAUUGGGUCAGAAUACCUGUAAGCUAUUUCCGUAGUAAACAUUACCAUAUAAGGAAAACCGAAAGUAAACACUCAUUUGCCCAUUCAUAAACUUUAUCGACGUCAUUGUUAUUUACUAAUAUCAACCAAUCAUUACCGUCCCCAUGCCAAAUAUGGAGACCGGAAAUAAUAAACCGUCACGCCUUUUUGCGACCACGCUUCAUGACUGGAAAAAGAUUUUAGAUGUUUUUCAACAUAUUUGACCGCAUUACUGGAUAUAUAUUUGAGUAGAUAGUACAAUAACGCUGGUUUCGUUCUAUUCGGUUCUGUGCAUAUCUACCAGUUUCUAUGCGUAGCUUGUGGGAUGACAACCUUAAUCUGGACAGUGAAUUCCGAAGGGUGCUAGGCAACACAUUCAGCAUAUCAAAGUGUUUUUGAAGUUCUGAAGGUGUUCUACCUAAUAUAACCAUAUCAUCAGCAAAAAGCAUCAAAAUGAAGGUGAAUGACCCAGACUGAUCACAAUGCAGACGACCGUUAGCGACUCUCAUUGACGUGGAUUUACAAAGGUCAAGGAGUUUGAGACCAUGUGCAUUUGUAUUCUUAUCCAUAGAGGCCCUCGGUAAGAGGAAAUCAGUUUGUCCCUGCACAGGCCAUGAACGUUCCAGGAGAUGAUAUGAAGAUCCACCCUCGCGCGAUCCUAAAGACUGGAAUUAUUACGCUCUCGACCGCCAGAUCCAUGACUUACACCACGACCUCCACGUGCUCUACUCGCGUUUCGACCACGCCCACCUGGUCUACCACCGCCACGACGUUGAUGUGCUCCUCGACUCGAAGCAGCAAUAUCGCUACCGGCAUUGCUAUCAUUGGAAGCUACAUUAUCACAUGAUUUGAUGUUAUUUGUCGACUGAAGAGAUUGUUGAACGCCAUCAAUAUAAAGUUUAUCGUAGCUGAGCCAUGCAUCUCUGCCAUUUGCUUUAGCUUCUCUGAGUCUGGGAAUAAGAGCUUUGCGACGAUCGUUAACAGCUUUAGGAUAUUGCUCAGUGACAUAGAAACAGGAACCCCUAAGCUUACCUCGUGAAUUUCGCACAAGUUCUCUGUCCUUGAAAGAAGCAAAUUUCACAAAUACAUUACGAGGUUUGCGUGGCGGACCAUACGUUCGGGGCUUGUCGUCAUCCGAUUCAACAUUAUAUGUAAAAUCAGCUUUACUUGACCCUUGUGGGGGAUGUAUAGACCUAUGUGCCCGUUCUAUGUUAAUUUGAUCAACUACAC